rnacentral:lncRNA from 1 species
GGGGGGGGCGCGGAACGGAGGAGAAGCCGCCACCGGGGGCCCCCCCAGAACCUCGGGGCCCCCUCCCCAAAAGCCCGGCACCCCUCUCCCGGUGUGCCAAGCCCCCCCACGUCCCCGGUGCCCCCCUCCCGGUGCCGCUGUGCCUUACCAGCGGGCUGCGGCAGCCUCCCCGCCGCUGCCCGGGCAUCUUGGAGGCGGCGGCGGCGGCGGCGGCGCGGGGGAGACGGCGGCGGGCGGGCGGCAGCGGAGCGCGGGGAGGCGGCGCCGAGCUCCCGAGCCCUCCCCCGGCCGCCGCCGCUGCCCCUCCCCGCCCCGCCGCAGGUUUCCCUAGCACCUCCUUUAUCCAGAGACGUUCGGUUCCUCCUCCUUGCUACUGCACAGGGAGCUGUGGCUCCGGUUCGGGGACGGGAAGUGGAUGCUUUGCACCACCUCAUGUUGAACGUUGGAAUUUCACAGCCUCAUCCAAAUUUCUGCUCUCUCCCAUGCUGAGCAAACCGCAGGCCUCACCGGCUUGCCCCAGAACAGGCUCUUCUGGCUCCACAUCCACUUGCCCAACGCCUCUUCAGGAACUGGUGACGGUGUUGGGUGCUUCUUUAAGGCUUCAUUGUUCAGCAUCCUCCUGCAGAAGCACCCGCAGCAGGGCUGAGCUGUCCCCGCAGCACGCGAAACGCUGCUGGAGAGCACGGCGAACCGGUGAGCAGCCCCAUCCUUCUGCCUCUCCUGCGAGCCCAGGAGGGGAAGCUCUCACCUGGAGAGAGUUUGGAGUCAUGGUUUGAUAGGCAAGGAACGUCUCACUGGGUUUUAAGCCAUCUUCUGAGCAUCUCCAAUUUUUGAGGGGUGCGUUUGUGUCCUCACACCGCCCCAUGGAGCUCUGCGGAGAGUCCUCCUCUCUCCUGUCCAGGAAGGGCUCUGCAGGAGGAAGGUGAGGUGUUGCAGGGGAGACCCCAGGCUGUUCUCCCAGCAAGAGGGCUGGACUCGUCCCCAGGUCUGCUUCCUUCUCCUCCUCCCCCGAUUCAGCCACCCUCCCUCGCUCCCCAAAGGAUGGGACAAGGCACGUCAGACACCCGUCCGCUGGGAGCCAGCACGGGAGGAGACGUGCAGCUGGAGCUGGAAACCCUGCAACAACACCUGCAAGCGCUGCUCCUCGUUUCUGAAGCUCCUGGGUGUCUCAGGACCCUCCCCUUGCAGCAAGAAGCCCCAGUCCUUCGCCAUUCCCAGACGGGGCGGGUGCGUUGCACAACGCAGCCCAGCCAGGGUGGCCAGCAGAGCCCACGUGCUGCCCUCUGUGCUUGCCGAGGAACCUGAAGCAACACCUCCUGGUGGAAUAGGUUUUUAAAGGCCCCAGGGGGACUGCAGCAGCUGGGACCCCCCCACACACACCAAAACAAAGCGCGAGUUCACGAGUUCCCCAGUCUGUAUUUCUUGUUUCACCACGCCUUCGCUUCCCCCACAGUGCCUCCAGGGUGAAACUACUCAGCUGGCUGAAUGGGUUCGGC